AUCGAACGCUGGCGGCAGGCUUAACACAUGCAAGUCGAACGAGUGGCGGACGGGUGAGUAACGUCUGGGAAACAGCCUGCUGGACCGGGAUAACUACUUGAAAUGGUAGCUCAUACCGCCUACCAUCGGAUGUGCCCAGAUGGGAUUAGCGAGUAGGUGGGGUCAAGGCUCACCUAGGCGACGAUCCCUAGAUGGUCUGAGAGGAUGACCAGCCACACUGGAACUAGGACACGGUCCAGACGCCUACGGGAGGAAGCAGUGGGGAAUAUUGCACAAUGGGCGCAAGCCUGAUGCAGCCAUGCCGCGUGUAUGAAGAAGGCCUUCGGGUUGUAAAGUACUUUCAGCGGGGAGGCGUUACCCGCAGAAGAAGCACCGGCUAACUCCGUGCCAGCAGCCGCGGUAAUAC
rnacentral:rRNA from 1 species